UACGUAGGGUCCGAGCGUUGUCCGGAAUUAUUGGGCGUAAAGGGCUCGUAGGCGGUUCGUCACGUCGGGAGUGAAAACUCGGGGCUUAACCCCGAGCCUGCUUCCGAUACGGGCAGACUAGAGGUAGGCAGGGGAGAGCGGAACUCCUGGUGUAGCGGUGGAAUGCGCAGAUAUCAGGAGGAACACCGGUGGCGAAGGCGGAUCUCUGGGCCUGUCCUGACGCUGAGGAGCGAAAGCGUGGGGAGCAAACAGG
rnacentral:rRNA from 1 species